rnacentral:rRNA from 1 species
UACGUAGGGUCCGAGCGUUGUCCGGAUUUAUUGGGCGUAAAGAGCUCGUAGGCGGCUUGCUAAGUCAGGUGUGAAACCUCCAGGCUCAACCUGGAGCCGCCACCUGAUACUGGUAUGGCUAGAGUCCGGGUAGGGGACCACGGAAUUCCUGGUGUAGCGGUGAAAUGCGCAGAUAUCAGGAGGAACACCGGUGGCGAAGGCGGGGCUCUGGGGCCG